CCCGGAAGCUACAGAGAUUGAGAGAGAGGAACAGAACAAACAAACAACGCGCUAAUCCAUAACAACGAUAAUAUUCUAGAGGAACUUCAGUUCACUAAAACAUGACCUGUAGGAUUUAACCAUUGGAUGCCACUUCAAACAACUGUUAUGCUACAACCAAUAAGAACCCAUAACCCAAGAUGUUGACACACACAAAUAGGUUAUGACAAG